CCAAUAGCGUAUAUUAAAGUUGUUGCAGUUAAAAAGCUCGUAGUUGAACUUCGGGGUCUACCCAUUGGUCAGGCUUAAUUGUCUGUACUGGUGAGAUGAAUCUCUACCUUCUGAGGAACUUUCAUGCCAUUUAUUUGGUGUGAUGGGAAAUCAGGACUGUUACUUUGAAAAAAUUAGAGUGUUUAAAGCAGACUAUCGUCUGAAUACAUUAGCAUGGAAUAAUGAAAUAGGACGGACUGAUUCUAUUUCGUUGGUUUCUAGGAUCACCGUAAUGAUUAAUAGGGAUAGUUGGGGGCAUUAGUAUUCAAUUGUCAGAGGUGAAAUUCUUGGAUUUAUUGAAGACUAACUACUGCGAAAGCAUUUGCCAAGGAUGUUUUCAUUAAUCAAGAACGAAAGUUAGGGGAUCGAAGACGAUCAGAUACCGUCGUAGUCUUAACCAUAAACUAUGCCGACUAGGGAUCGGACGAAGUUAAUUUUAUAAUGACGCGUUCGGCACCUUACG
rnacentral:rRNA from 1 species